UAAUGUGAUUGACAAGAUUGAGGAAAAACAUAGCAAAUGUGCGGACCUCGCUUUCGAAAUGUCACGCUUGCAUCCCAAGUACCAAGUUGUCCGACUCCCCAUUGUUCUAGGUCCCUUAGGUUUGGUAUGAUAUUCACCAUUCACAUUCUCCGAAAAGUUCUUGGUGGACAAUAAUCAUAAUGACGACGACGAUGAUGAUUAUGAUGAUGAUGAUGAUGAUGAUGAUGAUCCAUGUUGCAGAUGCGAUUGCCAUCCAGGAGCAUACGCCUGUUACGGCUGCGGCGUUGUGAACGUCCCCACCGGCUGCUACACUGACACCCCCCAUGCGACCGAUGUCUACCCCCUCUGCUGCAAGACUCAUUCGGUGUGUCCCGGGGAUAAGGAUUACGACAAGACGAGGCUCAGUGCAAAAUAGGAUACCUCACGAAAACAACACGAUAACCUCCCCUGUGCUUUUUCAGGCUUUGUAACAAUACAAUGUCAUUAAACAAUUACACACA